CCAGCAGAACCCUCUACUUAUGUACAUCAUCCAACUCCCUAUGAUGCUCCUUCGGAUGCUCAUUUGAUGACACCUGAAGCCUAUUCACCUCCCAUGUCCUUUACCUGCCUCGACUGCUCCAGGUACGGUAACAACAACUCAAUAUGGUUAUGGAAGUGGAUAUGAACCAUAUCAUCCACAUCCUUCUGCAUGUCGGUAUGUGCAAGUGCCACUUUCAUGUUCUCUCUAUGUUUAAUACCCUAUGCCAAGGCAUGU
rnacentral:lncRNA from 7 species